AAGUUGAUCUGGAGGGUGAAGGAAGGCCCCAUGCUGCCGAGAUCCUGUUAUGCCUCAGCUGUUUCUCCAUGUUUGUCUGCUCUCACAGAUGAAGUCACGGCGAUUGCAAUCUGCGGCAAGAUGAUAUUUUCUGUGAGGAGGUUUCCAUGUGUUUUCUCCACUUGACUAGUAGUUCUUGCAAAGAAGGGGACUUGUCCUGCUCAUUUCUAUAUCCAUGGUGGCUGCAAAAUGAAAGAUGUAUAUGAACUACAGAGUUUCUAACGGACACAAGGCCAAAGUGAGACAGUGGAAGGUGGAAAUAAAAACAGCAUUGUUCCCAAAUGCACACUGCCCUGGGGCACGGGCAAGCCCUGGGGACAAAUGGUUGCAGUAGCUGGAAGAUCCUUCAAAGGAAUCAAAACCUCCAUUUGAAUGAAUACACCCAAAUGCCUCAAACAAAAAAUAAAACUGGGCAAUACAAUUUCAAUAUAAGGAUGCGGAUAUUAAGGUGAGUGAGAAUUUGACUUUUCUUUUUUUGCUAGCAAUGCACACUAAAGGAAUAUGUAUGACCCCAAUUCCCACCAAAUCCCAGUCAGAGAAAUUCGGAGUCAAAGAGGUCAAACCUUUUCAGGGAUACCUGAAGUUUUAGAACCGGAAAUCAACUUCAAGAGCAUGGGGUCAGCCUCCUCAUUUUCCAGUGGAUGUGAGUGAUUUUUAAAGCUGAGGUGAAGGUCACAUGGGGUUACUCAUAGAAUUAGGACUUGAAUUGGGAACUCCUGGGGCACUUGAGGGUCAGCAUGUAUAGCCGCAGUAGCAGUGACCAGCUAAGGAGAUUUGCUGCUCAGGAGUUUCAAGGGUAAGCGAAUGCUAUUGCUAACCAGCUAAAUUCCCUUCCCUGGGGAGGGAAAAUGGAGUUAAAACUGCCAUAAACCAACAAAGUCACAAUUCAGUCAAUUUAAGAACAUGUUCCCUCUCUUAACGGGCGUAAUAAUCUCAGGCUUGUCACUUCUCAUUGGGCCUUUUAGCAGAAGCUAGUACAGUUUACUCAGAUUUGCAUGUGAUUUUCAUAUUGGUCAUGCAACUCUGAACUCAUGCCAGUGAGUAAUCACAGGCCCGUUCCUGUUCUGGUUCAUGGUCAUUAAGCAAGAAUGCCAGGUGUCUUGGCCUCUGCAUGCAAAGCCAUCACCCAAAGAAAGUAAAGACAUUCUCCACCCUGGCUUCUUUCCAGCUGGGGAUCUAGGAGCUGGUGCCCUUCAAAUAUCUUUCAGAAAGUCACGAAAGGCUCCCAGUACAGUGUGAUCCAAACAAAUCACCUGUGAAGAAACUUAUGGGCCAACUUAUGGACACUUGGAUUUGGAUUGGGUAUUACAUGCCACUACUGAAUGAUUGUUAGUUUUGAUGGGUAUGAUAAUUGCAUUAUUUUUAAAAAUGUUUGAUAAUUGCAUUAUUGUUAUAAAAGAACCAUGUUACUUUUAAGAGAAGUUUUCUGAAAAGUUUGGGGAUAAAAUGUCAUGAUGUCUAUAAACCAAGUCAAGAAAAAGAGAGAGAGAGAGAGAGAAUAAAGCAAAUGUAGCACGUUUUGACUGUGGUUUAAAUUAAAGUAGGUAUCAAUGUCCAUGAUGAUAUUCUUUACUUUUCUAUGUAUGAAAAUUUUCACACUCAAAACUUAAAAACAGAUUUUCUGUUAGAAUUAGAAACAAAGCCAUAGAACUUGACCUCUUGUCAUCCUGUGUCACCACUCGUGUCUGCCUUCAUAGAUGGAUGUUAGAAUGGAGACAGCAAGAACACUUGCUUUAUGUAGAACCUUCCAACAGGUAACUACUGAGUAAUCAUUUUCUCAUUGCAAAGACUUCAAAUCAUCAGGGAAGCAUAAGGAGCAACAGUGUGAGUUCCCCUCUGGGCUUGCCCUCUCCUGGGACCCCACUCCACACAAACUCCCAUCCCCACUAUUCCAAGUGGGCAUGAGUGGGUAAAGGGACUUGUGUCCUGGAUCCAAAUGCAAGGCCAAAAGUCACGUAGGGAGAAAGUGUUAAGAGCAGAGCCACCAGGAAGGUGGAGGAAGGGAGGCAGAAGGCAUGGAAAACGGCCUUCUGAACCUCGGGGAAACUGCAUGCAGUGUCCUGUUUCUGGGAAGAUUCUGGGUACUCUAUGCCUUCUCUCCAUAGGAGAAGGUGAACUUUCCCACAUUUAGUUCAGUUGGUCCUUGAGGAGAGCCUGAAGUUUGCAAACUGUCCCUUCAACCUGAUGUCCAGGUUGUUACCAGACAGUCCUCCUCAAGGCGGUGGAGUCAUGAAGUCCCUUCCCUGCGAGGGACAUCCUUGGAGCUGCAUUCCCAGCAUGGCAGAGUGCAACCCAGGUGGAGAGCACCACCUUCACCUUUCCACCCUGAGAAUUCAAGGCCUCAGAGCA